GGGCCGAUAGCUCAACGGUAGAGCGGCGGAUUUUUAACCCGCGGGUUCCGAGUUCAAGCCUCGGUCGGCUCG
rnacentral:tRNA from 1 species